CAAAGGUACCAUGUCUCUGUAUAUAGGGUAAGGCUGUCUAAGAAGGUGCUCUCUUUCCUGGUCUCUCGAGUAUGGGUCUAGAGUAGACGACAUAUGAAGAGAGGGAGGCAAGUUUAUUCCCUCUCCUGAAAGGCCAUAAGUUCUUCUCUCUCCUGAAAGGCCAUAAGUUCGAUAAUCCUUUUCACUCAUAAAUAAAUCACGUGGAAUCUCAUCUCUUUGUGUAGAGCCCACCUCCCUGUACUCAACACGUCGAUCCCUUACAUCAGAGAGCACAGGAUAACUU
rnacentral:lncRNA from 1 species